AAAUAGAAAUGAAUUGUUUUGAUUUAUUAGUGCUACAUCUUGAAUGGAUUCACUAUGGUUGUAGCUUUUGCUAAGACGAUGUACAUUAUGUGUGUGUUACCAUGUGUUGGAAUAAUUGUACAUAAAUUAUCUCACAUUUACCGUAUUUUCACAACCAUAGGGCGCACUGGGUUAUAGGGCGCUAUCUCAGUUAUGGGUGAUUUUUCAGUAUUUGAUACAUACAAAAGGCGCACCGGGUAUUAAGGAACGGGCACGUCAAAACAUACCGGUAAAACAUGCACGCUAAUGUUGAACCUUUCUGUGAUGACAAUCUCUCUGCGGGGGAGACCUUCUCCAGGGCCAAAGUCGGAUCUUCCUUCGGGGUUCACGUCCCAGUUCGGACCAUCAGAGCCUCCAGAUAGGGUUAAUAAAAGAUCCCGUCUCCGUUCUUUUAGAGAAAAUGAAGAAAGCAGUGGCACGUUAGCCCAAGCUUUUACAAUCCAUUCACAAAGUGUGGCAGUCUAUGCCUCCAGUGCUGCUUCCCACUACAAUAAAAGCCAAUGUUUCUGCCCGGUUGUAGGUAUCGCUACAGUGCUGGUCCAAUUCUUUUCGACAUUAUGAUUCACUGGGAUGUCGGAAGACAGGGGCUCCCCGUCCAUGUUGGUGGCCUGUGCUGGAGGAGUUUGUCUGCACUCUUUUUACUGUUUAUGAGCGGUAGAUGAACAGCUUUUAAUUGUAAUCCGCUGGAAGUUGCUACAGUAUUGUAAUCCUUGCCUGAUUGGAAAGAUGACAGUGUUUCAUAAAACGAAAGUAAAACACUUCCUGUAAGUAUUACUGCUCUUAGUCGAAUGCGGUGAUGGCAGAGAAGCUUCUCCAAGCUGAUAACUGAUCGUUAAUCCAUCGGCGUCGCCUUUUUUCCACGGGAAUUCAGCUGCGUUUUCUUGACUUGUCGGAGUUUGUUUUCCAGCUUCCUCCACUUGUAAACCGUGGAUUCAUUCCUCAUGAAUUCUCUGCAGUUGCCCUCAUUUUCCUCCUGGUAGCUGAUAGCUGCAGUUUAAGCUGUGCGUCAGCCAUGUUGUAAACAAGUAUGAUGACCUGGGGGUCAACCCCGCCUAUAGCCACUAAGACUCAUGAAACUUGUGUUUGUGGAAUCCCUCACCAUAAGUGAGAGAGCUAUAAAGAGAAGUGAGGUGCAUGUUGUUACGCUGUUUGAGUGUGUUGAAAAUAAAUAGGCUUUGAUGUCGGAAAGGACAUUGAUCAAUCUCAAUGCAGUGCAGUGCGGUUGUUACACAGUGCUGUUCAAGCUCACACUUCCUUUCCCCGUUCUCACGCUGUCCUCUGCUACGCCCCACAACUACACAUUAGGCGCACCACCUCAUUGGGAAACCCCAAAAGUUUGGAGAAAAUGUAAGACAUUUAAGUGCACCUUAUGGUUGUGAAAAUACGGUGCUCUGAACCUUUGAACGUGUGAUCAUAUAUGGCAAAGUGUGAGUGUGUAUACCGCUUUUCUGCAAAACUGGUUCUCAGGAAAACAGGGGAUGACCCAGCACAGCUGUCUCGCCUUGACCCGGUGACAGCUGUUCACCUUUCAUCUGUAGGAGAUGUGCGCUAAGAGGUCAACAACAACAAGGUGAUAUCCCAUAGGAGCAGUUGUGUUUUAAAGAUGGUGUUUAGAUUAGCUUCUUGACCUGUGUGGGCUGCUUUGCGUUGUUUUUACUUCCCCCACCCCUUAGAAGCAGACCUAAGACAUUUGGAUUUAGUGAAACGCCUAGUUAUUAAUAAAAAUGAGGAGGGAGACCUUUGUAAACUCAGAGCAAGCUGGAAAAUUGCGUUUUCUGUCUGCUCUCUCUCAAGAAAAGAUACAAACUUCAUCCUGCAGAAGCAUCAGCAGAAGAGAAGCAUCAGCCAUGAAGGGACUGAGGACAGACGGACAUCCAGCCAGAAUCCAAGCAGCACCUUCAUCCUGAUGGAGCUACGCCCUCUGACCUUCAUCAGUCAGUAGAUUCUUUAAUAAAAACAUUUGGAUCCAAUAU